rnacentral:siRNA from 1 species
AUGCUUGUCUACGAGUACCUC